UUAACUGAUCUUAAAAGUGAUGCGGUGGAAUUUUUGUAAAUAAGGUUAUAGCUUUUAAGAUCGGUCACAUUUUAGUUGAUCUUACAAGUACUUUUAAGACCAGUUAAAAUGUGACCAAUCUUAAAAGUUAUAAAUUUAUUUACAAAAAUGCUACUGCAUCACUUUUUAAAAUCGGCUCUCUAAUGGCUGAUCUUAAAAGUUCAUUAUAAAAAAAAAUAGGUGUAUAGUGGUGCUUUAUUUCUAGGGGAUUUAUUAAAAAAUUAUAUAUUUAUAUAUACAAUAACAAUACUUAUCUUAUUUUAUCCAUGUCAUUAAUUAAAACUUAAAAACUUAUAUACUUUUAAACAACAAAAAUUAUAAAAACUAUUUUUAUAUAAUUUUUAAAAUAAUUAUAAUUAUUAUAAAAAUUAGUAACCUUAACACAACAUUAUUUUGAAUCAACUAAAACAAAUGAUGUUGUGAAGGGAGUGAGAUGAAAUUAAGCAAGUAAAGCAAGAGGUAGAAUUUCAUUUUAAUUUUCACAUCCAAAUUCAGAGGCCAUGGAUUCUUUGUUAACAAAGGAUAGCCUGAGGCUCGUGAAGUGCUCCCACAAACCCAUUUUCAAAGUGGAGAACAAUAGUGUUGCUAUUUUUGAUGGAGUGUAGUGGUGUUGGAUGUCAUGUGCAAAGAAGUGUUUCAUGGACUUUUGUGGCGAACGAUGUUGUUGCUUGGUGAACUUUUGAAGCGAAACACAAUAGUGAAGAUAGGUGGUUUUAAUCCCAUCUUUUUCAUCUUGUUAUUUCGUUUGAAUUCACCAUAGGAAAAUGUUUUAUCGUUUGGCCAAGUUAAUUCCAUGUGAAAUUAGGGAUGUAUUUGUGCAAUUUCAUUGUUGAUGUAUUUUACAAAGGUCAUUUUCUAAAUAUGUCAAAGUAGUCACAAGGUGAUUUGUUAAAAUAUGUGAAGGGGAGAGAUAUUUACGAUGAUCGAAUGUGAUUUAGAUGAGUGGUCAAUACAAUAAAUGACUAGUUUGAAAUAAAAAUGGACUAUAAAGAAUGUGACACUAUUUGUUAAAACUAACUUGAUAAAAAAAAAAAAAA